GAUGAACGCUAGCGGCAGGCUUAACACAUGCAAGUCGAGGGGCAGCACAGUGUAGCAAUACAUGGGUGGCGACCGGCGCACGGGUGCGUAACGCGUAUCCAACCUUCCCGUUACUCUUGGAUAGCCUUCCGAAAGGGAGAUUAAUACCUGAUGGUGUUUGAAUUCCGCAUGUUAUUCAAACUAAAGAUUCAUCGGUAACGGAUGGGGAUGCGUGACAUUAGAUAGUAGGCGGGGUAACGGCCCACCUAGUCUACGAUGUCUAGGGGUUCUGAGAGGAAGGUCCCCCACACUGGAACUGAGACACGGUCCAGACUCCUACGGGAGGCAGCAGUGAGGAAUAUUGGUCAAUGGUCGGAAGACUGAACCAGCCAAGUAGCGUGAAGGAUGAAGGUUCUAUGGAUUGUAAACUUCUUUAUACGGGAUAAACCUCCCACGUGUGGGGUCUUGUAUGUACCGUAUGAAUAAGCAUCGGCUAACUCCGUG
rnacentral:rRNA from 1 species